AAUUCUCAACCUCACCAGUUUUCUAAACUGUUCUUCGAGGCUUGGAUGUGGGGGUUUGUGCAGGCUGCCUCUGGCGGUCUGCUCCCCUGAAAUGCAUUAGCGAGUUCAUACUGAGCUCCGUCUAUUGGUGUGAUAAUUAUCUACGCCGUGGACGAGGUUCAGACUUGCUUCUAACCGUCCGUAAGGACAAUACCUUGACA
rnacentral:misc_RNA from 1 species